rnacentral:misc_RNA from 1 species
GUCAUGUUUGAAAAAUUGGGUGGUAAGAGUGACAUUCAUUUUUCAGGUUUCACAAUUAUUUUAAUUUUUUGAUUGCGAAUAUUAAAAUACCAAUAAAUUCAUACUUGAAUCUUCUUGCCUGGUUUUAAGUUCAAAUUGAUGUGAUUGGACUGAAAAUUAUUAAUUUGGGUCAGUUUAGUAUAAGUUACUACUAUUUGUUUUAGGUAAAAAAAUCACUGGAAUGUUGAUGCCGGAUAUCAUUUGCAUGUGGCAGAAUAGUCAAGAUUGUUGUUAUGAUAAGUAAAGAAGUAUGCAAUUUAAAAGAUAGGCCUUUAAUGGUGGGUUUUUAUUUUUCAGUUUGAAAUCUCCAUAUAUAAAUAGGGAUGUUGGCCUUGUAUUACACCAUAUGAAAAUAUUAUUCAUAUUCAAAUUUGUAUGAACUUUGAUAAAGGAUAUUAAUUAAUAAGGGUACUUCGUUGUGACUGGAAGGUUGUGAGUUUGAGUCAUGGAAAUUGCCAAAAGGUAGAAGUAAGGCUGCAUAGUGUAAACGACUCUCACUUGACCUUCAGAAAGCAGGGGUCUUGCGCACUGGGUAUGUUCUUUUUGCUUUUUCCAGACCUUGCACAAAAACACGUGAAAGGGAAACCUUCUUUCGAUGACUUGCAAUUUUUUUUUUGAUGCUUCAAUUUUAUCUCUUCAAACAACAUUUGAGUAUGUGUUUUAUGGAUAUAAUAUUGUAACAUUUUAAAUUUUGACAUAUGUAAGGCCUAUUUGUGCAUAUAUUCUUUUUUACAGUAAUUUUAACUUGGUAACUUGAUUAUUUCAGGUUAAUGCUUUUAGAGAACGGAG